ensembl:lncRNA
CCAGGAGUUGAACACCCUAUCCUACCCCAUGCUAUUACAUAUUUUUGUUGGACACUUUAAAAGAGGAUGAUGAAGAUGAACACCAGUGGGCUACUACCCUUCCUCUGGGGUUCUCGUGUGGUGUGCAGGCGCACCACCAUGACUAACAAUGUAUCAAAGAGCAGCAAUAACUCCUGUGCUACCCCCUGAUCGUCUCUCUCUCUGAUCAUUGGAUAUGCUUGCCACGAGAAGCGACCAAAUAAAUGAUGUUGGCCUGUGUAAAGUUAACCACCUCCCCUGCCAUCCCUCCACCCAACCUUUACUACAAGCUGUGGAUGUACCAGCCCCUCAUUUCAGGGAAUUGAGGACUUUUCAAACUAUACUGGUUGACAUAAUGAAACUGUGGUGUGUCUUCUGGUAAUCUAAGAGAGACCACAACAAUUUAACUCAUUCCUUAGGUUAAAACUUAAACUCUGUGGCUUUCUGCACGGUUGAAAGGGGACCAACAAAAGCCCAAAAAAAAAGAAUGAUUAUUGCAACUCUGCAAUGCUUGCCAAGAAAGCUGAAACUAGCUAACUCUCCAUGUCACUGAACAUUCAAAAAGUCAAAUAUUUUGGCAGAUUGCUUAGUAUUAGAAGAAGGCUACACCAAAACACAUGUGCACCUCGCUCUUGAACAUUUCCAGCCCGGAAAAUCUAUGGCAAAUGUGUUAAAAGACCAUUGUCUAUUAAUUUUAAGGAAGUAUAUUUCGUAAUAUGUACCAUCCUUUUUUUUCCUCAACUUCUCCACACUGGCUCAAGCGAAGCGCUCACACAGCCAUGCCAUUAGCCAAUGCAGUGUUAGAGCCAGCGUGUUAGGCGCAUGGCAGAAUUCCCGCACACAGUGGUUUUAACGCACGCACUAUAGGUUACUUAACCAAAGCAUUUUUCGAAUUCUGUUUCUGACAUGGCACAAAAUGUAUUUGAAAAGUUGUAACUUCUCAGAAGGUGUAUCCAUGAGUUGUAGCCUAGUUACUGUCAGUGCAGCUGACUGAACAACAAGUGUGAUGCAUGAACAUGAGUUCCAUUACUAC